AACGAACGCUGGCGGCAGGCCUAACACAUGCAAGUCGAGCGCGCCCUUCGGGGUGAGCGGCGGACGGGUGAGUAACGCGUGGGAACGUGCCCUUUUCUACGGAAUAGCCUCGGGAAACUGAGAGUAAUACCGUAUACGCCCUUUGGGGGAAAGAUUUAUCGGAAAAGGAUCGGCCCGCGUUGGAUUAGGUAGUUGGUGGGGUAAUGGCCUACCAAGCCGACGAUCCAUAGCUGGUUGGAGAGGAUGAGCAGCCACACUGGGACUGAGACACGGCCCAGACUCCUACGGGAGGCAGCAGUGGGGAAUCUUAGACAAUGGGGGCAACCCUGAUCUAGCCAUGCCGCGUGAGUGAUGAAGGCCUUAGGGUUGUAAAGCUCUUUCAGCUGGGAAGAUAAUGACGGUACCAGCAGAAGAAGCCCCGGCUAACUCCGUG
rnacentral:rRNA from 1 species